UGUUUUUCUACAUGCAAAGAUGCCACUAUUGUUGACCAAGAAAGUUAGGCCAAGGAGGAUUGUGUGACCUUCGUGCUGAAUACACACAAGUUGUGUGAAGACACAUCAACCAUACGCAUAGACAUUUACAAGCUUACACGCACACACACAAGUUGUGUGGUUGUGAGACCUUCGGGCUGAAUAUUUUGAAAGUUCUUUAUGUCUAUGAGUUUCUUUGGGUUGUAUCUUUCUCUUAUGAUGAGACAUGUGGAAGUUUAUUUCAUCAAGAUAAUGAUGAGGAGCUAAAAGUCUAAAACGAUGGCAGCCGAAGUUCAGGCUGAAUAUAAUGAAAGUUCUUUGUGCCUAAUUAAUUUCUUUGGCUUGUUCUUUGGAAGUUUAUUUCAUCAAGAUAAUGAUGAGGCUAGCUAGAACGAUGGCAGACGAAGUCAGAGACUUCCAACUGGUAUUAUUUCUGGUAACUUACAUUUUGUUCAAAGCUCUGUUUCCCUCAGGAUAUUUGGACCUGUCUGUCUAAGUUUUCUUCCUUUUUUUUACAUUAUAACUGAUUUGCUGUUUGUUAUCUCAGGUGCAUUGAAACUAAAAGCAGAAUCGUGGAUUGACAUCUUCGGAAAUUAUGGCUAACUGGUCAAUUUUUAUCGGGUGUCACACUCACAAAAUGAAAAUUUCACAAAAAUUGACAUGGUUUUGUAUUGAGGAAAUGGUUUUUUAUCACCCUGCUCG
rnacentral:lncRNA from 1 species